rnacentral:rRNA from 1 species
GACGAACGCUGGCGGCGUGCUUAACACAUGCAAGUCGAACGGAAAGGCCCUGCUUUUGUGGGGUGCUCGAGUGGCGAACGGGUGAGUAACACGUGAGUAACCUGCCCUUGACUUUGGGAUAACUUCAGGAAACUGGGGCUAAUACCGGAUAGGAGCUCCUGCUGCAUGGUGGGGGUUGGAAAGUUUCGGCGGUUGGGGAUGGACUCGCGGCUUAUCAGCUUGUUGGUGGGGUAGUGGCUUACCAAGGCUUUGACGGGUAGCCGGCCUGAGAGGGUGACCGGCCACAUUGGGACUGAGAUACGGCCCAGACUGCAACGGGAGGCAGCAGUGGGGAAUAUUGCACAAUGGGCGGAAGCCUGAUGCAGCAACGCCGCGUGCGUGAUGGCGGCCUUCGGGUUGUAAACCGCUUUCGCCUGUGACGAAGCGUGAGUGACGGUAAUGGGUAAAGAAGCACCGGCUAACUACGUG